AAAAAAAGAGUGAUGCAACAUCUUCUAUCUUCUUUUGACUGACAAUAAUAUUUAUUUUUUAAAAAUCAAUUUUUGAUUUUACUAAUCUCCCCCUAUAUGUAAGUGACAGUCAGAAGGACGAACGCAACAUGAAAUAAUUGUACCAAACGUUCCGUAAGUUGUACAUAAAUUUGAGCUUAUUUUUUUUUUUAUUUUCUACUUAACCACGUGUAUGCAUUUGAAUUUACUAUCCCUUUUUUCAUAGACAUGUAUUUGUUUUUACCUUUGUGGGCAACAACUGGUCUCCACAUUCAUUUUCACUUAAACCCCAAAUACUAUUCUUCCAACUUCUCUCUUAUUCCCUCACUAGGUCGUAUCUUUUCUCUCCGACAAUGAAUUCUUCCGUCUCUCUAAUUUUAUGUGGAUAAUUAAUAUAAAUCAACUUUUUGGUUAUGUUUUGAAGUUGAUGGAGGAUGCGAUGAGAGUACUUCGCUCCGUAUAAGGUUUGAAGUUUCUUUAAUUGGGUAUUUGUCAGGAGACUCAGAUUAUGAAAUGGCUAUUCAAAGUUACUGUGUGACUUCUAUGUAAUUUAGCACUACUGGACGAUAUUAGUAAGUAAUAUAUUGUUUAAUUGAACCGAGAAUUUUGGUUUAAUUGGUACUAAUCAUUUUAAUAAAUUAUUUUCGUCUUGUGUACCUUUUCCGCUCAUAUUUGGGGUUUGAGAGUAUAUUUAUUGCCCAACUCCAUUAGAUUUUUCUGUGAAUUUAUGAAAAGGUUAAUAUAUAUGUAACGUGCAAUUCGUCUUUCAUUUAGCACUUUUCUCUAUUGGGUUUUCAAAUUUAAAAAUUGAUGAUUGCCUGCAUUCUACUAUGUUAUUUUGGGAUUUGUUGGGAAGUAAAGCUAAAAAGGUUUGAGCCUCUUAUUUUGAUUUCUCUAAUUGAGAUCCUGAUGCAUAUAAAUACAAAUGGUCCAAUGGGAGCAAGAGUUCCAAGAACAUUUGGAAUCUUUGGACUAUUAAUUUGCAGGUUACUAAAAUAUAUCAACAAGUCUUAUUUUCUCUAUAUUUUUUUUGCACAAAUUUUCUUGAAUUUAGAGUCUGUAACUUAAAGAUAUUUGUGUUUAUCACUUUAAAUAAGUGCAUAUUUUGGUUAUAAUGACAUAAUGUUUUGUUCUGUUAAUUUCUUUCACAUACUUGAUCUACCUAAAAUAAACACUAUUUUGUGUCGCACAUAAGCUUUUGCUUUGAGUAGCAAGGUAUAUGUCUGUCAAACAGCAAUGUGCAAAGAUAGAGAUAUUUGUGAGAUACUCUAGAUGAUCUUUAUGUUUUGGUGACAAUGAGCUGAAAGGGUUCCCUAGGAAUAUGUUACGUUAAUAAGACUUUUGUUACUUUACUAUCAAGUACCAACAACUCUGGACGAAAAAGAAAAUGUCAAUUAACUUGGAGACUAUGUGCAAGAAAAAUAACUUGUUGACCGAACACAUGUAGAACUAUGAAUACCAAAUUAAGAAAUCACAAAAUUGAGGUGUGCAAAAAGAGAUAAAUGUGAUGCUGAAGAUGUAAACGACAAAAGACAAUCUUCUUUAAGUGGUAAAACCUUUAGUUUCAUGGACUCUUCACUUUUGAUGCCGCACCCGUAUCGGAUUCUUCAAAAUUACACUAUUUUUGACGAAUCCGACGCACCCCUUGGCAUUUCGAAGAGUCCGAGCAACAUAGGUAAACCCUAAGCAUAAGUGAAAGUGGAUGCUUUUGUUACUUUAUACUAUUUUUAUGAGAUUAUGAAAUCAAUAGUGCAAAUAUAUUACUAUACUACUAUUUAAUUGUACUGUGUGGAAGAUUGCAUAAAUUGAAGAAGAUUAUACAACAUCAAUUCUCAUGCUACAAGAUAGCUCGUCCAAUUGUCAUAUUGUCUAAAGACCAUGUUACAAAAUUGACUGAACAAACAACACCUAAUUUCAAUAGCAACUUCACAUCACUGCCAUGGGAAGAACUUAAUAGUAUGUGAUGUUUUUGUGCUACUGCCCAAGUGAUGAAGGUCUGAUGGCAUGGCUUUGUGCAAUAUCAAUAUGAUCACAUAGAUCAUUCAUAUUUUUGUCUCUUACGUCCUGAAGAAUUGCCUCUGAUGAAACCUCCCUGUAUGUUUCAAUGCAACAACAGUCUACAAUGUCUUCAACAGAGGACAAAGUUCAACAGGAGCUACAUGUUUGUUUAUAAUUUUCAUCAGGAUGCAAAACAUUUAAACUGGACAGACUGAGAAGUUCAUAGAAAGCUUUUAUUGCUGAAACUCCCUGCACAAAUUCAUACAGUAAUAGAAGCAAUUACAGUUCUCAAGGGAAUGGUGAAAUAUGCGUGCGCAAAGUUUUUAAAGCCUAAUUACAUAAUUCUAUGAAAGAUGAACCUGAAACAAAAACUUUUGCGGAUAAUACUGUUCAUAAAGAGGGGACAAAAUGAAUAAAUUAUUUCAAAAGGUGUUAACAUUUGUCUAUGCAAUGGAGCUCGUUUCUUUGUGUUACUCACAAUAUUAACAGAUUUUAUGUGAAAGCUUACCUUUAAUGCAAUAUUUCAUUAUUCUCAAUGAAACCAACAAUUGUUAAAUAUAACUAUGAUGAGUCAUUAAAUAGUAUAAAUUUGUUCAACCGCGUAAUUUUUUUCACAAUUAUUUUAGUGUUGGGCCCGUGCUUAGCACGGACUUUGACAAUCUAGUAUAUAAUAUAUAGAAGAGUCUAGGAAGCAGGUGUUCGUCAACAUGCUUACUUCCUAGACAAGGGUAAUUUGGUAAGUUACUAGCAAAUCUGUUUUAUACUUGUUGUCAAUGCUUAUACCAUUUGCUUUUGAAAUUGUGCGCUUCAUCAUUUCUUUCCCCUCUAAUUCUUAUUGUGUCCUUUUGUUGAUAAUACAGUAUAUUUCAAAACUUUAUUUACCCCUUCUUUUGUACCUUUUUACUAUAAAUUCAUUGGUACAUAUUAUAAAAUAUAUUGAAAUAUGAGACUUUUUUAAUGCCUUAAAGGCAUUAAAGUGCGAUGUUAGCACUUACUCGGACCCACAGGUUCCAUCAAUAAUAUUUAUAUUUUUUUGGUAGACAUAUUUAGCACUUAUUCAUUUCUAGUUAUUUUAGGCUUUCUUUGUUAUUGUGUUUGAGAUCAAGUAGAACAAAGUUAACUAAUAAAUUUAAUAUUUCAUUACUAAGGCUACAUUAUAUGAUUGUUCAUUAAUGAUAUUUAAAAAUAGUAUUAUAAAAUUAUCCACACUCAAAAUUCUAUUAAAGACAAAAAAGUUGGAUAGAAGAAAUAACAUAUACUAUUUAUAAAUCAUACAAAUUUCAUGUGCAUCACAUUAAUUCUUCACUUUUUCUUGUUAAUUUUGUCUUACAUUUCUUAAGUCAGUUAUAUAUUUGAAAAUUGCGUUAAUUGUAUUUUAAUUUACAAUAUUAAUAAGUUAAAAUAGUUCAAAGUAAAUAUUUUUUUUUUUUAAGUUUCAAAAUUCUAUGAGUGACACACAUAAAAUGGUUUAGAGGAAAUGACAUAUAUCAUUUGAUAAUGACUUAAAAAGUAUUAUAAAUUACAAAAACUAACAACUUGGAAAUCUAAAAGACUUAAACAAAAUUGAUUGACUCUCAAAAUUAUAUCUAUACAACAAUAAAUUGGGACAUGAGAAGUAACAAAAGUUCACUAGUAAGAUAUAUAAAAUGGAAAAACUACUUAAGUAGACAUACAUCCCUAUCUUUUAUACUAAAAUUACAUCUAAUUUCAAACAAUUACAUAUAUUACCACUUUUGAUAUUUUAUAUCAUAUAUUUUAAAAGAUACAGUUAGAUAGAUAAAACUCUUUUAACUAUGAUUGAUUAAUUAUCUUUAUAUUUAAAUACUAAAACUAAUGGUCCAAUUGCAAUUAAUAAUUUUUUGUCCCUGAUAUACAUUUCCUGUGUCAAUCCCCUAUUCCAAUAGUAUCUCUAUUCCCCCACAUACUUGUAACACCUCUAAAAUGAUUUAGGUGAAACUAGAGCCUUACACUUGAUUCAUGAGGUUCUAAAGUAAUAAAAUGACUUAUAAUGAUGUUUAUAGGCAGUGUGUAAAGUUUCAUAAAGUUUGGAGGUCAAACGUCCAAGACGAUCGAAAGGUCUGCCUUGAAACGUGCUUGUGUGCCUUAGUGUGUUUUGUUAAGUUUUACGUGUUCGUUUUGGAUGAAAUUGAUGUGUACGAAUAUAUUCGGGUUGAAAACGUCCGGACAAAACUCCCCAAGGACCAACCACAUGGUCCUUGAGGAGGACCCAACAUGUAGCCAAAACUGUCCAAAACCAGCCCAACCAACGAGGGGCAAUCAACGGAGAUACAUCAACUCACCGUCAUUUGAGGCGUAGGUUGAUACUUAGUUUUUGAUAUCAAUCUCCCAAGUGAGGAGCCUCUUAUCCUAUCGACAGAUUGCUAGAACGUCCCGUAGAUGGACCAACGAGGCGUCGAUUGUGGACCAUCGAUGACACAUGCUGAAAUUCUGCAGGUGUCUCGGCCAAGGCUAGGAGCAUUUGGGUAAUUCACCUAGCAUUCUUAAAAUAAGUUGGACGACUUCUUAAGGGUAGUUUGGAUAUUUCAAGUGGGUUUAUAAGUCUUAAACACUUCGAUGAAUUCAUUAUUUCAAAAUCAAAACUCAAAAUCCCUAAAGAACUCUCUAGAGCACCAUUGAAGCUUGAAAGGAACCUUAGAACUUGGAGGGUGAUUUCUCCAUCAAAUCUUCUCAAUUUUCUUGGUCUAGCAUCAAUUAAGGUAUGACUUUCAUCCUUGAAUCUCUUUUCUACAAGGAUUCAAGCUUCAAAUGUGGUUUUCAAAGACUUCUAAAAAAGAUGAAUUUCUAAAUUGUAAUCUAGCCAUGUAUUCUUGCAUAAAACAUUUUGAAUCAUUGUAUUAUGAUUGAAUUGAUGUAAAUUUGAUGAUUUUAGACUAAAAAAUCUAUGAAACCUUGCAAAUCAUGCAACCCUAGUUUUGACUAUUUCAUGGAUGAUUUGAUCAAUGUCUCUAUGUUAUUAAAUUCUUAUGUAGUUCGAUUAGGGCUAUUGAACUAUGAAAGAAUCAUGCUAGAAUUGUAAGUAGACAGUCCUAAAUUUAUGAAUUCAUAUUGUAUUAUCUUUCAUUCAUUGUAUAUUGUGACUAUUGAAUUGAAUUGGUGACUAUGCCUAUUGGUAAAAGCAUUUGUGUAUUAAGUUGGUUGAAUUGACUAUGGAUUGAAGUUGUGAGAUUGGAAUGGUGGUAGGCGUAAGGUGAGAGGCAUCUUGAAGCAAAGCUUCGAAACUAGGACUCAUUCAAGCAAAGUUGGGUUUGUCCUCACUUGAUUUGAGGACAAAAAUAUUUUUAGAUUGUUUUCGUUCAAAGUAUUGUAAUAGACAUUUGUUUUCUAUGUUUCGAUUGUAUGGGCCGUGUCCCAAGUAUUCUUGAGUUUAAGAUUGACAUAUGUUGAGACUUAUCAUCAUUUUAUAUGAAAAAUACUUUAAGA